AAGUCGUAACAAGGUUUCCGUAGGUGAACCUGCGGAAGGAUCAUUAAUGAAUUUUUUACCAGGAGUUGAUGCUGGCUUUGCUGCAUGUGCUCGCUCCUGGGUUUUAAUCCUUCAUACACCUGUGCAUACCUGAGGGCUCGAGGCAGCUAUAGUUGUCUCGCUCUCGCUUCUACACAAAUUCUUUUUCGAAUCAUCGAACGUGAUCAGGCCUAAAAAGCCAUAAACUUAUACAACUUUUAACAACGGAUCUCUUGGCUCUC
rnacentral:misc_RNA from 1 species